rnacentral:rRNA from 1 species
GACGAACGCUGGCGGCGUGCUUAACACAUGCAAGUCGAACGGUAAGGCCCUUCGGGGUACACGAGUGGCGAACGGGUGAGUAACACGUGGGUGAUCUGCCCUGCACUUCGGGAUAAGCCUGGGAAACUGGGUCUAAUACCGGAUAGGACUCCGGACUGCAUGGUCUGGGGUGGAAAGCUUUUGCGGUGUGGGAUGGGCCCGCGGCCUAUCAGCCUGUUGGUGGGGUGAUGGCCUACCAAGGCGACGACGGGUAGCCGGCCUGAGAGGGUGACCGGCCACACUGGGACUGAGAUACGGCCCAGACUCCUACGGGAGGCAGCAGUGGGGAAUAUUGCACAAUGGGCGCAAGCCUGAUGCAGCGACGCGGCGUGAGGGAUGACGGCCUUCGGGUUGCAAACCUCUUUCAGCAUCGACGAAGCGAAAGUGACGGUAGGCGCAGAAGAAGGACCGGCCAACUACGUGCCAGCCGCCGCAGUAA